rnacentral:rRNA from 1 species
AACGAACGCUGGCGGCAUGCCUAACACAUGCAAGUCGAACGAGACCUUCGGGUCUAGUGGCGCACGGGUGCGUAACGCGUGGGAACCUGCCCUUAGGUUCGGAAUAACUCCCCGAAAGGGGUGCUAAUACCGGAUAAUGUCUUCGGACCAAAGAUUUAUCGCCUUUGGAUGGGCCCGCGUUGGAUUAGCUAGUUGGUAGGGUAAAAGCCUACCAAGGCGACGAUCCAUAGCUGGUCUGAGAGGAUGAUCAGCCACACUGAGACUGAGACACGGCCCAGACUCCUACGGGAGGCAGCAGUGGGUAAUAUUGGACAAUGGGCGAAAGCCUGAUCCAGCAAUGCCGCGUGAGUGAUGAAGGCCUUAGGGUUGUAAAGCUCUUUUACCCGGGAUGAUAAUGACAGUACCGGGAGAAUAAGCUCCGGCUAACUCCGUG